AGGAAGAUGGCAGAAGAGGCUGCUGCUAGUUCAGAAGGUUCAUCUUUCCAGAGUUUGAACAACCUCAUCAACCAAGCUCUCUUGUCAUCUUCUAGAAAUUAAGACUAACCCAUGCAUCUUUAUUUUUCCUUUCCAAUGUUGUUUGAACUUUGUAAUAUCACUGUCUAUUGAUUUCUACAACCGUCUCUGCUACAUAAUUCAUCAUUCACUCAAAAUAUCAAUAUAUAAAAUCCAUACUC
rnacentral:misc_RNA from 1 species